rnacentral:rRNA from 1 species
GAUGAACGCUGACAGAAUGCUUAACACAUGCAAGUCGAUGGGGAAGUGGUGCUUGCACCAUGGUAACCAUGGCGGACGGGUGAGUAACGCGUAAGGAACUUGCCUGCGGGACUGGGAUAACAGCAGGAAACUGCUGAUAAUACCGGAUAAGGUCAUUAAGCUGCAUAGCUUAGUGAUGAAAGGAGACGCCUGCGGAGAGCCUUGCGUCCUAUUAGCUAGUGGAGGGGUAACGGCCCACCAAGGCGAAGAUAGGUAGCCGGCCUGAGAGGGUGGACGGCCACAAGGGGACUGAGAUACGGCCCUUACUCCUACGGGAGGCAGCAGUGGGGAAUAUUGGACAAUGGGGGCAACCCUGAUCCAGCAAUUCUGUGUGCACGAAGACGGUUUUCGGAUUGUAAAGUGCUUUCAGCAGGGAAGAAGGAAGUGACGGUACCUGCAGAAGAAGCGACGGCUAAAUACGUG